GGGGCACGGGGGGAGGAAAGCAGGGGAUCGUAAGACCUUGCGCCGAUGGAUGAGCCGAAGUCGGAUUAGCUAGUUGGUAGGGUAACGGCCUACCAAGGCGACGAUCCGUAGCUGGUCUGAGAGGACGACCAGCCACACUGGGACUGAGACACGGUCCGGACUCCUACGGGAGGCAGCAGUGGGGAAUAUUGGACAAUGGGGGAAACCCUGAUCCAGCGACGCCGCGUGUGUGAAGAAGGCCUGCGGGUUGUAAAGCACUUUUAGUGGGGACAAAAAGCUACGGAUUAAUACUCUGUGGUCUUGAUUUAACCCAAAGAAAAAGCACCGGCUAACUCUGUGCCAGCAGCCGCGGUAAUACAGAGGGUGCGAGCGUUAAUCGGAAUUACUGGGCGUAAAGCGCGCGUAGACG
rnacentral:rRNA from 1 species